rnacentral:rRNA from 1 species
AGAGUUUGAUCCUGGCUCAGGAUGAACGCUAGCUACAGGCUUAACACAUGCAAGUCGAGGGGCAGCAUGGUCUUAGCUUGCUAAGGCCGAUGGCGACCGGCGCACGGGUGAGUAACACGUAUCCAACCUGCCGUCUACUCUUGGACAGCCUUCUGAAAGGAAGAUUAAUACAAGAUGGCAUCAUGAGUCCGCAUGUUCACAUGAUUAAAGGUAUUCCGGUAGACGAUGGGGAUGCGUUCCAUUAGAUAGUAGGCGGGGUAACGGCCCACCUAGUCUUCGAUGGAUAGGGGUUCUGAGAGGAAGGUCCCCCACAUUGGAACUGAGACACGGUCCAAACUCCUACGGGAGGCAGCAGUGAGGAAUAUUGGUCAAUGGGCGAGAGCCUGAACCAGCCAAGUAGCGUGAAGGAUGACUGCCCUAUGGGUUGUAAACUUCUUUUAUAAAGGAAUAAAGUCGGGUAUGCAUACCCGUUUGCAUGUACUUUAUGAAUAAGGAUCGGCUAACUCCGUGCCAGCAGCCGCGGUAAUACGGAGGAUCCGAGCGUUAUCCGGAUUUAUUGGGUUUAAAGGGAGCGUAGAUGGAUGUUUAAGUCAGUUGUGAAAGUUUGCGGCUCAACCGUAAAAUUGCAGUUGAUACUGGAUAUCUUGAGUGCAGUUGAGGCAGGCGGAAUUCGUGGUGUAGCGGUGAAAUGCUUAGAUAUCACGAAGAACUCCGAUUGCGAAGGCAGCCUGCUAAGCUGCAACUGACAUUGAGGCUCGAAAGUGUGGGUAUCAAACAGGAUUAGAUACCCUGGUAGUCCACACGGUAAACGAUGAAUACUCGCUGUUUGCGAUAUACAGCAAGCGGCCAAGCGAAAGCGUUAAGUAUUCCACCUGGGGAGUACGCCGGCAACGGUGAAACUCAAAGGAAUUGACGGGGGCCCGCACAAGCGGAGGAACAUGUGGUUUAAUUCGAUGAUACGCGAGGAACCUUACCCGGGCUU